UUGACCACAGUCGCACCAACGGUCUGGUAUUAGGACCCUAUACUCUUGUCUGGGCAGCCCUUGGUUGUGGUCAAUUGUUUCCUUGACACUCAAAAGUGUGGCCAUGUCGGUCGAAUUCGGUAACCGAUGGCUGCUGGCUUUGGCAGAUUCCUGCCUCAUAAACUUCAUGCAGGCAUCACUAUAUACUUGACUCGUCUGCAACACUUCAUGCCAGCGCCUGCCUCUUGUUACGAACAACGUUGCCAUCCGAAAAUAGGUCGCACUCACCAAUGCGGUUAUCGGGAGGUUACGUAUGCCCUUAAACACGCCGUUCAUUGAUUCCACAAGAUUUGUUGUCAUGUGGCCCCACCUUACCCCAUCGUCGUAU
rnacentral:lncRNA from 1 species